AUUGCACAUUUGAGUUAAAGAUGAAAACAAAAAGAGCAGUGUGACCGUCGCUCAGGGAUGUCAAAAAGUGGAGAGGCUCUGUGACUUUUUGGUGCCACUGGAGAGUGUUUGGGAAGCAGCGACAGGAACUCCUCCUUUACAUUUCUCUCCUGAGUUUCCUGUUUGUCUGCAGAUUGCAGACUGGGGUCAAACGAGCGAAUGCCAUGAGCUCAUUCCAGAGGAGGUGCAGGAAGGUUUCACUCUGGGAGUCACCAAGCACACAGUGCUUCACUUUCCAUGGUGACGGCCAGAUGGGUAAACAGAGAGGCUUUCUUUCUCCUGUCCAGCCAGGACAGUGUCAUUAUGCAACCAAAGGGCUGCUGCUCCCCUUGGGGGAGGCUGUAAGUGACCACACCCAAACACUAGAACAGGACUGCAUCUCUGCUGUCAUCAGGCACGCCCAAGAACAUAAUUAUUCACCUAUUUCUCCAGGCACUUCUCUCCCCCUGAAGUGCAUGCAGACAGUGAUGUUGAAGCAGUUCAGGUUCUGGUGACCUUCAUGGCACUGCGGCACGGAGAUGUUGAUGGAGACGGGCAGGAAGAUGGAGAUGUCCACUGUAAUGACAGGGCGCGACCUGCGACCACACAAACCCAGACAGAGAACCGUGUGGGAGAAACCCUUCAUUUAAACCACGGUGAGGAAGAGAAAGAAUCACUAUUUAGGUUUUCAUAGGUAGAGAACUCACCUCAGCAGAACCACACUGUCUCCCAUAAAUGCUCCAAUGGUGACAUCUGCAGCAAAGACAUGAUGGAUUUUGAAAAACCAUUAAGAAGACACAACGCUAAUGCAACAUCAGCAGUGUUUACACCUGCAAAUUCCAAAACAAUGCACAAACUGAGGCCUUCCAACGUCAUGAAGGCUCAGUCUAUCAGCAAUGGAAUGCAGUAAACAACAUGCUUCUGUCAGUCAUGGGACAGAAAAUAUGCUAUUGUUGAUUCCAAGAAACUACAAAUGUUAAACAGAAAAACAAGAAUGU